UACAGAGGUGGCAAGCGUUGUUCGGAAUUACUGGGCGUAAAGGGCGCGUAGGCGGCCUUCUAAGUCAGACGUGAAAUCCCCGGCUUAACCUGGGAACUGCGUCUGAUACUGGGAGGCUUGAGUAUGGGAGAGGGAUGUAGAAUUCCAGGUGUAGCGGUGAAAUGCGUAGAUAUCUGGAGGAAUACCGGUGGCGAAGGCGGCAUCCUGGACCAUAACUGACGCUGAGGCGCGAAAGCUAGGGAGCAAACGGG
rnacentral:rRNA from 1 species